GCCGGCAUAGCUCAAUUGGCAGAGCACCUGAUUUGUAAUCAGGGGGUUGCGGGUUCGAGUCCCAUUGCCGGCUCCA
rnacentral:tRNA from 1 species